CCUACGGGCGGCAGCAGUGAGGAAUAUUGGUCAAUGGACGAGAGUCUGAACCAGCCAAGUAGCGUGAAGGAUGACUGCCCUAUGGGUUGUACACUUCUUUUAUAUGGGAAUAAAAUGUUCCACGUGUGGGAUUUUGUAUGUACCAUAUGAAUAAGGAUCGGCUAACUCCGUGCCAGCAGCCGCGGUAAUACGGAGGAUCCGAGCGUUAUCCGGAUUUAUUGGGUUUAAAGGGAGCGUAGGUGGAUUGUUAAGUCAGUUGUGAAAGUUUGCGGCUCAACCCCGUCGUGCCGUUGAAACUGGCGUUCUUGAGUGAGCGAGAAGUAUGCGGAAUGCGUGGUGUAGCGGUGAAAUGCAUAGAUAGCACGCAGAACUCCGAUUGCGAAGGCAGCAUACCGGCGCUCAACUGACGCUCAUGCACGAAAGCGUGGGUAUCGAACAGGAUUAGAUACCCCUGUAGUC
rnacentral:rRNA from 1 species